AUUGAACGCUGGCGGCAGGCCUAACACAUGCAAGUCGAGCGAGCGGCGGACGGGUGAGUAAUGCCUGGGAAUUCCCCAGUCGAGGGGGAUAACCGUUGGAAACGACUGCUAAUACCGCAUACGCUUGGUUUGCCCAGGUGAGAUUCGCUAGUUGGUGAGGUAAUGGCGCACCAAGGCGACGAUCCCUAGCUGGUCUGAGAGGCAGAUCAGCCACACUGGAACGGAGACACGGACCAGACUCGUACGUGAGGCAGCAGUGGGGACUAUUGCACAAUGGGUGAAACCCUGAUGCAGCCAGGCCGCGUGUGUGAAGAAGGCCUUCGGGUUGUAAAGCACUUUCACCGAGGAGGCGUUACUCGCAGAAGAAGCACCGGCUAACUCCGUGCCAGCCGCCGCGGUAAUUC
rnacentral:rRNA from 1 species